UUAUUUUAUCAUGUAAGUGACCUCGAGACAAGACAAUCUUGAUGACAAUUUCUGUAAAUUCAUAAACAUGAAAUUGACAUUAAACCAACCAAAGUGGUGACGACAUGGGUUAGUUUGGUCAAUCCAUAAAUUCUAACCACUGAUUCAGACGCAGGGUCAGAUACGUCUUGGAAGAGGAAUAAUUCACAUGACAAAAUCAC
rnacentral:lncRNA from 1 species